rnacentral:rRNA from 1 species
UGAGGAAUAUUGGUCAAUGGGCGAGAGCCUGAACCAGCCAUGCCGCGUGCAGGAAGAAUGUCCUAUGGAUUGUAAACUGCUUUUAUUUGGGAAUAAACCUGCGAACGUGUUCGCAGCUGAAGGUACCAAAUGAAUAAGCACCGGCUAACUCCGUGCCAGCAGCCGCGGUAAUACGGAGGGUGCAAGCGUUAUCCGGAAUCAUUGGGUUUAAAGGGUCCGCAGGCGGUUAUAUAAGUCAGUGGUGAAAGCCUACAGCUCAACUGUGGAACUGCCAUUGAUACUGUAUGACUUGAAUUCGAUCGAAGUGGGCGGAAUGUGACAUGUAGCGGUGAAAUGCUUAGAUAUGUCACAGAACACCGAUAGCGAAGGCAGCUCACUAGGUCUGGAUUGACGCUCAGGG